GAAGUUUUUUUAAAACAUUCAUUUGCAAAGAACUUUGUUAUUAACUCCGUGUUCCAAUCCUCCUUGGUGAGGUAGAUUCCCAUUUUCUGCUUUAUUCAAAACAGAGGGCAACAAAGAGCAAGUGGAAUUUCCUCUCAAUAAUACAGUUCUAUGCACACGACUAUUCUUCCCUUGGUCUUUUCUUUGAGGUCAACUGAGGAGAGGGUGGGACUGGCUCUAGAUAUUUUACUUAUUAGAAUAAUGUAUUGUUUCCCACCAAAACUUGCAUUGUGAGAUGAACUAUAGGUACAUUUUCAUUUCUUGGACGAACUUGCUGAAUGAGUGAGUUAUGUGUUUGCACAUGUGUAUGUGUGUGUGUGUGUGUGUGUGUGUGUGUGUUUGUUCAUAAAAAUAGUUACUAAUUUCAAUGCUAAACAGGCAUCUAUGGAAUUACUAGGUUAAAAGCAUUAGACUCUACUUGAAAUUAGAGAUGAGUCCUUAAAAAUUACCUAAAUUAGCUGGUGAGAAUCCUGCAAUUAACCAAAGUGUGGAGCAGCAAGUGAUAAGCCUGGCAAGCAGGGUAAACACAAUGCAUUUGGGGAACUUAGAGAAAAGGAGAAUUAAUUCUCUGAUUUGUGUAAUUGGAGGGAGUUUUAUCAAGGCCAAGUGGAGAGUUGAGUUAUGCCUUGACUAAUAAUUAGAAAGGAGAUAAGGGAUGAAUACCCUUGUUUAAAGGAAUAUAUCAGUGUUGGCUGCAUCUUGAGCAUUGUUUCCUUUUUUGUCACCAUUUUUUUCAUUAUCUUUUUCUUGUUUUAGAGCAUGUUGGAACAUCAUUUAGGAAUGUAUUUUAUCUGAUGAAGUAUAGAGCAGAAUAUGGGAUAAUAAUGAUGUCCAAGGCCAAAUUUUCAGAGCUAACAAAUAUUGAGCACCUACUUUCCUCCCAACACUUGGCUUGGAUUUUCCUACUUGAUCAGCCUGCGAAGGAAACGCUGUAAUCAUGGCUAUUUGAAACUUCAAGGGAGCAGUUUUGUCUUCUAGUUUUCCGCAACCCAGAAGUCACACAGAGAUGGGGGAUGAAAGCAGGAAAUAGCCUGAAGUGUAAGCUGUGGAACUUUGGAGCUGAAUAAAGACACCUGCCUGAUGACCAGCACUGUCACUCACUAGGCUGUGACUAGAAUGAAACACCAACCUCUCUGGCAUCAGUUGCACCAAGGAUACAAUGGGAAUAAUGAAAAUUCUGACUUUCUAAACUGUUGAUUGAAUUUGCUGAUUUGAAUCAUGCAAAGCAGUUAGUUUGCAGUGCCUGAGGCCCUGGAGCAGCUUAGACAAGUUCAGGACUUGGUAUCACCACUAUCAAGAGAUCAAAUGAACAUUUCCUUCUUUAACAACACUGCAACCCCUGAACUACCCUGAGGUUCUUCUUUUGGAAAUAGAUCUGUACCAUUUUGUUUGUGA